rnacentral:rRNA from 1 species
CCUACGGGAGGCAGCAGUGGGGAAUAUUGGGCAAUGGGCGAAAGCCUGACCCAGCAAUGCCGCGUGAAUGAAGAAUGUCUUAGGAUUGGAAAAUUCUGUCCUUUGGGAAGAAAAACAUUACGGUACCAUAGUAUUAAGCCCCGGCUAACUACGUGCCAGCAGCCGCGGUAAUACGGAGGGGGCGAGCGUUGUCCGGAAUUACUGGGCGUAAAGAGAGCGUAGGCGGCACUACAAGUCUCAUGUGAAAUACCCGGGCUUAACUUGGGUGUUGCAUGGGAAACUGUAGGGCUUGAGUACAGGAGAGGCAGGCGGAAUUCCUAGUGUAGCGGUGAAAUGCAUAGAUAUUAGGAGGAACACCAGUGGCGAAGGCGGCUUGCUGGACUGAAACUGACGCUGAGGCUCGAAAGCGUGGGGAGCAAACAGGAUUAGAUACCCCGGUAGUC